CUUACACACAAAGACAAUGAACCCCUUGCACACAGAAAAACACACAAUGCAUUACACACACAAUGCAUUACACAUACACACACACGCAAUGCAACCCUUACACACAAUGCAUCCCUUACACACACAGAAACACACAAUGCACCCCUUAAACACACUCAAAGCACCCCUUACAGACUCACACACUUCAUCCCUUACAUCCCUUACACAUACAAACACAGAUUCACACAAUGCAUUCCUUACACACAAAUCAGGACAUCCCC